rnacentral:rRNA from 1 species
AUUGAACGCUGGCGGCAUGCCUUACACAUGCAAGUCGAACGGCAGCACGGGAGCAAUCCUGGUGGCGAGUGGCGAACGGGUGAGUAAUAUAUCGGAACGUGCCCAGUCGUGGGGGAUAACGUAGCGAAAGCUACGCUAAUGCCGCAUACGAUCUAUGGAUGAAAGCGGGGGAUCGCAAGACCUCGCGCGAUUGGAGCGGCCGAUAUCAGAUUAGGUAGUUGGUGAGGUAAAGGCUCACCAAGCCGACGAUCUGUAGCUGGUCUGAGAGGACGACGAGCCAAACUGGGAAUGAGACACGGCCCAGACUCCUACGGGAGGCAGCAGUGGGGAAGUUUGGACAAUGGGCGCAAGCCUGACCCAGCCAUGCCGCGUGUGCGAAGAAGGCCUUCGGGUUGUAAAGCACUUUCAGUGGUGAAGAAAAGCCAGGGGCUAAUACCCCCGGGUCUUGACGUUAGCCACAGAAGAAGCACCGGCUAACUCCGUGCCAGCCGCCGCAGUAACAC